rnacentral:rRNA from 1 species
CCUACGGGAGGCAGCAGUAGGGAAUCUUCCACAAUGGGCGAAAGCCUGAUGGAGCAACGCCGCGUGGGUGAAGAAGGUCUUCGGAUCGUAAAACCCUGUUGUUAGAGAAGAAAGUGCGUGAGAGUAACUGUUCACGUUUCGACGGUAUCUAACCAGAAAGCCACGGCUAACUACGUGCCAGCAGCCGCGGUAAUACGUAGGUGGCAAGCGUUAUCCGGAGUUAUUGGGCGUAAAGGGAACGCAGGCGGUCUUUUAAGUCGGAUGUGAAAGCCUUCGGCUUAACCGGAGUAGUGCAUUGGAAACUGGGAGACUUGAGUGCAGAAGAGGAGAGGUGAACUCCAUGUGUAGCGGUGAAAUGCGUAGAUAUAUGGAAGAACACCAGUGGCGAAAGCGGCUCUCUGGGCUGUAACUGACGCUGAGGUUCGAAAGCGUGGGUAGCAAACAGGAUUAGAUACCCCUGUAGUC